AAGGUAGCGAAAUUCCUUGUCGGGUAAGUUCCGACCUGCACGAAUGGAGUAACGAUUUGGGCGCUGUCUCCACCACGAACCCGGUGAAAUUGCAUUACGAGUAAAGAUGCUCGUUACGCGCAGCAGGACGGAAAGACCCCGGGACCUUUACUAUAGUUUGGUAUUGGUGAUCGGUGUGACUUGUGUAGGAUAGGUGGGAGACUGUGAAGCCGGGACGCUAGUUUCGGUGGAGUCGUCGUUGAAAUACCACUCUGGUCACUCUGGUUAUCUAACCUAGGACCGUUAUCCGGUUCAGGGACAGUGCCUGAUGGGUAGUUUGACUGGGGCGGUCGCCUCCUAAAAGGUAACGGAGGCGCCCAAAGGUUCCCUCAGCCUGGUUGGCAAUCAGGUAGCGAGUGUAAGUGCACAAGGGAGCUUGACUGCGAGACUGACGGGUCGAGCAGGGACGAAAGUCGGGACUAGUGAUCUUCUGGUAGCGAAUGGAAGCGCCAGGACUCAACGGAUAAAAGGUACCCCGGGGAUAACAGGCUGAUCUUGCCCGAGCGUCCAUAGCGACGGCAUGGUUUGGCACCUCGAUGUCGGCUCGUCGCAUCCUGGGGCUGGAGUCGGUCCCAAGGGUUGGGCUGUUCGCCCAUUAAAGCGGCACGCGAGCUGGGUUUAGAACGUCGUGAGACAGUUCGGUCCCUAUCCGCUGCGCGCGUAGGAGUCUUGAGAAGGGCUGUCCUUAGUACGAGAGGACCGGGACGGACCAACCUCUGGUGUGCCAGUUGUUCCGCCAGGAGCACGGCUGGUUGGCUACGUUGGGAAGUGAUAACCGCUGAAAGCAUCUAAGCGGGAAGCACGCUUCAAGAUGAGGACUCCCACACCAUCAAGGUGGUAAGGCCCCCUGCAGACCACAGGGUCGAUAGGUCGGACGUGGAAGCACAGUAAUGUGUGAAGCUGACCGAUACUAAUAGGCCGAGGGCUUGCCACA
rnacentral:rRNA from 1 species